AACGAACGCUGGCGGCAUGCCUAACACAUGCAAGUCGAACGGGAUCCGAGCUUCGGUUCGGUGAGAGUGGCGGACGGGUGAGUAACGCGUAGGUAUCUGUCCAUGGGUGGGGGAUAACAGUGGGAAACUGCUGCUAAUACCGCAUGACACCUGAGGGUCAAAGGCGCAAGUCGCCUGUGGAGGAGCCUGCGUCCGAUUAGCUUGUUGGUGGGGUAAUGGCCUACCAAGGCGACGAUCGGUAGCUGGUCUGAGAGGAUGAUCAGCCACACUGGGACUGAGACACGGCCCAGACUCCUACGGGAGGCAGCAGUGGGGAAUAUUGGACAAUGGGCGCAAGCCUGAUCCAGCAAUGCCGCGUGGAUGAAGAAGGUCUUCGGAUUGUAAAGUCCUUUCGGCGGGGACGAUGAUGACGGUACCCGCAGAAGAAGCCCCGGCUAACUUCGUGCCAGCAGCCGCGGUAAU
rnacentral:rRNA from 1 species